rnacentral:rRNA from 1 species
GCGCGGUAAUACCUUAGUGACGAGCAUUAUUCGUAAUAAUUGGGUGUAAAGGAUGCGUAGAGACUCAACAAGUUUAUUUACUAGAUACAUAAAGUUGAAUUAUAAACUAUAGUUGUAGUUGAGUAUGUGUACAGAGUUUGGAUGUAUCUAAAUAGUGAUAGAAUACUGAAAUUUAGCUAUUUUUGCCAAUAUUUAAUUAUUUACUCUUACACAUUCUGACCUUGAGGCAUUAAAGUAAGGGAAAUAAACA